GUCGUUUGUUUACUUCUUCUUUCUCUUGAGCAUUGACGUCUAUCAUGAUGUUAACCUUAAUUUUUUAUUUAUUUAAUAUAUUUUAAAAAUUAUAAAAAUGAUUUCAGAAACUGUUAAUGAAUCUGACACAAAUAUAAGUAUGCAAUACCAAAAUCUUAGUAUAUAUGACAAUGGUCCACCAUUUGAAGUCUUUCAAAAUGAAGAAACAACUAAAAGCCCCAA
rnacentral:lncRNA from 1 species